GCCAGACUCCUACGGGAGGCAGCAGUGAGGAAUAUUGGUCAAUGGGCGGGAGCCUGAACCAGCCAAGUCGCGUGAGGGAAGACGGUCCUACGGAUUGUAAACCUCUUUUGCCGGGGAGCAACGGGGUCCUUGCGAGGGCCCGAUGAGAGUACCCGGAGAAAAAGCAUCGGCUAACUCCGUGCCAGCAGCCGCGGUAAUACGGAGGAUGCGAGCGUUAUCCGGAUUUAUUGGGUUUAAAGGGUGCGUAGGCGGAGUGUCAAGUCAGCGGUAAAAUUUCGGGGCUCAACCCCGUCGUGCCGUUGAAACUGACACCCUUGAGUGAGUGAGAAGUAAGCGGAAUGCGUGGUGUAGCGGUGAAAUGCAUAGAUAUCACGCAGAACGCCGAUUGCGAAGGCAUCUCACGAAUCCGCGAUUGACGCUGAUGCACGAAAGCGUGGGUAUCAAACAGGAUUAGAUACCCCUGUAA
rnacentral:rRNA from 1 species